rnacentral:tRNA from 1 species
CGGGGAGUACCUCAGUUGGUAGAGGAGUAGCUUUGGGAGCUACAUGCCGUGGGUUCAAGUCCCAUCUCCCCGACCA